rnacentral:rRNA from 1 species
UACGUAGGGUGCAAGCGUUAAUCGGAAUUACUGGGCGUAAAGCGUGCGCAGGCGGUUAUGCAAUACAGAUUUGAAAUCCCCGGGCUUAACCUGGGAACCGCAUUUGUGACUGCAUAGCUGGAGUACGGCAGAGGGGGAUGGAAUUUCGCGUGUAGCAGUGAAAUGCGUAGAUAUGCGGAGGAACACCGAUGGCGAAGGCAGUCCCCUGGGCCUGUACUGACGCUCAUGCACGAAAGCGUGGGGAGCAAACAGG